rnacentral:lncRNA from 1 species
GGGGAUUAUGGGGGGCUCAGGGAGGGAUGGGGGGGUUGGGGGUCACAUCCCCCCCUCCCCCCAUCGCCAGGCGGGGUUUGGGGGGGCUCCGGAGCAGGUGGGGGGAGGAGGAAGGGCCGGGGCUCCCCCACCCCGGGGAGGGGCCGCAUCGCCCCCUCCCCCACUGCAGGGUCUGGGGGGCCGCAUCCCCCCUCCCCCCCCGCCCUGCGCGGCCCCCGAACCCCCCGCGGAAUUCGGGGCGCUCAUCCCGCCCCUCCCCCACUGCGGGGGGCUCACCCAACCCCCCAAACCCCCCCAAACCCCCCCCAAAACCCCCCCCGGGCCCCCCCCGGCCGCGGGGCCUGCGCUGGGCGUGCAGCACACGCGUGUGCGCGGGGCCCGGCCCCACGGGCGGCGUCACGCGGGGCACACGCGUGUGAGCGGGGGGGGGGUCGGGGGUGUGCAAGGGCUGCGAGAGGCGGGUUUGGGGGUGCACGAGAGCCCGCAGGCGGUUUUGGGGUGCAGGAGAGCCCGCAGGGUGUCUGCAGGAGGUUUUUGGGGUGCACGAGAGCUCACAGGCAGUUUUUGGGGUGCUGGAGAGGUCGCAGGCGGUUUGCAGGUGGUUUUUGGGGUGCACAAGAGCCCACAGGGUGUUUGCAGGAGGUUUUUGGGGUGUACAAGAGCCCACAGGUGGUUUUUGGGGUGCAGGAGAGCCCGCAGGGUGUUUGCAGGUGGUUUUUGGGGUGUACAAGAGCUCACAGGCGGUUUUUGGGGUGCACGAGAGCCCUCAGGGUGUCUGCGGGCGGUUUUUGGGGUGUAAGGGGUGUGGGAGGGAGCUGUGCCCGGUUCUGGGGUGUGCAAGGACUGGGUGGGUGCAUUUUUGGGGUGCACGUGGAGGGAGGGGUGUUAAACUGGGGAACCACGAGCGUGCAAGGGGAGUGUGCACAGAUUUGGGGUGCACACGAGCGUGCAGGGUGUGUGUGUUUAGUUUUGGGGUGCACACGAGCGUGCAGGGUGUGUGUGUUUGGUUUUGGGGUGCACACGAGCCUGGGUGUGUUUCGGGGUGCACGUGUGCAAACCCGCGGUGCACACGCGUGUUCAAGGGG